rnacentral:lncRNA from 1 species
AGUGCCAGAGCUGCACGUUUACUGCAAGAAGAAUGAUGUGGAGCCCCUUCAAGGUGCUGGUAAGAAUCUGCCUCGGGGACUCAGCUUGGUUAUUUCGUCUAUAAUGUGUGCACAGUGACUUCAUGAGGGUUAACUCUACACAAGAGGGCACACACACACACCAUACUAAGUACUGAACCUAGGAUCUUGUGCAUGCUAUAAGCAUAUCAAGCAAUAUAUCUCCAGCCUUUUGUGUUUUCCUUUUAAAAUUUUUAUUUUAUUUUAUUUUUUAUUUUGAGACAGGGUAAGAUUCCAGGGCAGGGGUUGCAAACUGAAGGCUUAACUGAGUAUUAGCGUUCUGGCAAAGCUACCUUCCCCUGUAGACGGUUGUUGCUGCUGGGGCUCAUAACUCCAAGGUCCUGGCUCAGCAUUGCCCCGCUGUGGGCAGUGGGGUGGGCCUGGAUGAGACCAGGGUUAGGGAAGGGGUUUUAAGUUGGCCAUGUAGGUAAAGCGAUCAGCAGGUACAGCUAAUGCCGUCUGUUAGCUAAUGAGGUCUCGAAUCCUGCCUCCAUCCCUCUGGAGUGGGGUAGGGUGACUGUAAGGCCAUCAGAAUCUGGAGGAGAAGCCAGUGGGCGCUAUGAGCCCUCCUUCCUGGGGCCCUAAGGAUGUUCAGAAGUGACAGCCCUGGUCAAUGGUGGUGACUAGACUCUGUACUGAUGAAGUAGUUAUUACAACUGGUAAGCAGCGGUGCUGCUGGUGACUUAUCAAAACAGCAGCUUAAAAACUACCCAGCAGCUAGAGUGUUUAACAGGGUCUUUUCCUAAAAGUGCUUGCCCUGAAGCUCGAUGGACCAAGCUCAACCUCUGGAACACACAUAAUGGAAGGAGAGAACUGAUUCCUGCAAGCUGUCCUCUGGCACGUGCUGUGAUAUGUCCAUAAGUGUACACAUACAUACGUGCAAAAUAAACACAAGAAAUUAAAAAUCAGAAGUCAUGUACCAUACUGGAAAGCUUUGGCUAAGAGUAAAUGGCAGCAGGACUUCUGUAGUUGGCACAGGGAUCAUCCACACCACUCUGCAGGAGCUGCUUGGCCUUCGCCUGUGACACCUCACACUGCCAUAGCUCAGGGGCUCUACCCAUUACACUCUAGUCCUGAUGCUUCUGACAGCUUCAGGCUGCAAGACCUCAGAAACCCAUGGACAUAGAUGCCCUGGAAAUGUCACCUGCUCUACUAUCAUACUUUGGGUCAUUUGCUGAACUCUUAUGGGAAAAAGAAAUUGUGUUCACUGAAGCCACAUAAGUAUACAGAUGAACUCAGUACUCCUUCACAUCUUGGGAACUCCAGCUGAUGUGGACAUAGAGCCAUUUGUGAGGAUCCAGUACAUGUUCAUCCCGACGAAGGAACCUCAGUCCUGGGAAUGAGCUUGGUUCAGCUGUGUGUUGUCAUGGUGAGCUGGAAGACAUUCAGCUGGUUCUCAACUGUUCCUUUAGACUUAGAGAUUGUUUCUAAUGAUGAAUGAGGGACCUGCAGCCCUACCACAACCGUGGAGAAGGUGCGUGACCAUGGUGCGUGGACAGGUCAAGUGUAUGAACUGUAUGUGUGUGUGUGUGUGUAUUGGGGCUUGUAGCCCAUGUGGGUGGUGGGGGUUCCAGGUAGGAAGAGAGCUUUUCUUCAAGUCCCUGUAGCUCUCAUGUCUGCCUUGCUGCUACUGGGGAGCCUGUGGGCAUCCGGGUGCCUUUCCCAAGCGAGGGCCUGGGCCGGGGCACUCUGAAUUUGGCGGUGCCUGAGGCAGUGCCUGGGUGGAACUGAGCAGUUGCAGAAGGCAGCAGAAACAGGGCUUGCAGAGGCCGUUUCUGCAGCCUAAUGAUUUUCAGAAACCAUUUGUGAGAUUGAGGUAAUGUAUUUCGCAGACUCAAGCAAUUUACUCCUUCCCACCAUGCCAAAUCAGGCCAUUACAUCUUCUUGCUGUGUGCAUGUAGCUGUUGGCACCAGGGGAGAAUGGUCAAGCUCAGGGCCCCCGCCAUAUCUGUGCUCUCUGAUUCUGGGAUUGAUGGGGAACAACACCUUUGAAAAUGGGGUUUUAUGAACACUGGAAGCCGUUAAGCAGUGGAAGCGGGGACGGCAAUUUUACAUUCAGUGGGAUCCCAGGAAUGAGCAGCAGCCGUAGAAGCUGCCAAGUGGAAACUGUUGCUUGGCUCUGCUCACAGUUCCUGCCUGUGUUGGAGUGUGAGGGCCACAUCCAGUGUUACCCUCUGUGACCGCCCCCACCCCCUCUCCCCCAUCCCCGUGAGAAGCUUGGGUGCUUUGCCCACGUGCCCCUGGCCUGCUUCUAGCACACUGUGCAGCCUGGACAGGUGCCUCCCACUUGGAGUGGCUGCCUCAUCACCUAUAAAGUCACAGCCAUGUCAGAGGGUGAGAAGGGUCACGUGGGCUCUAGACCUUAGUCUGUGGGGUACCAUGAGGGUCCUGAGAGGACAUUUCAGAAGACAGUGGAGAGGCUGUGCAGGGGAGGAGUGGAGGUCAUGCUGGUGGCAGGCUCUUAACUCAGCCUGGGAGGGGUUGGGAGUGGGGGCGGGGCACAGCCAGGAAAGCUUUAGGUGCCACGGAAACAUCCUGUUGUGUCUUCACCUGGCCUGGGGAGGGACAAGUGUCUCAAUUGGGAUUGCGGCUGGCGAGCAGGCGAGCAGGCGAGAUGAACCUCAAGUGAGGGUGGGAAGGCUGGGGAAGGUGGGGCUGGGCAGGCAUGAGGGGUGGGUGUCAAGGCAUCUGACAUGGCUUUUGGCCUAUGAGGAGAAGCUCUUGAGAGUUCUCAGCAGGGGAGAUAGAAUGGCUUCAGCUCAAGACUUCUUUCUUCCCUUGCUGUGAGCCAUAAACUGUGGGGUGAAGGCACACACCAGCACACUGUUGCAUUUCACAGUCUGUAGUUGCAGGAAAAUAAAAUA